rnacentral:rRNA from 1 species
GUGACGAGCGGCGGACGGGUGAGUAAUGUCUGGGAAACUGCCUGAUGGAGGGGGAUAACUACUGGAAACGGUAGCUAAUACCGCAUAAUGUCGCAAGACCAAAGUGGGGGACCUUUGGGCCUCAUGCCAUCAGAUGUGCCCAGAUGGGAUUAGCUAGUAGGUGGGGUAACGGCUCACCUAGGCGACGAUCCCUAGCUGGUCUGAGAGGAUGACCAGCCACACUGGAACUGAGACGCGGUCCAGACUCCUACGGGAGGCAGCAGUGGGGAAUAUUGCACAAUGGGCGCAAGCCUGAUGCAGCCAUGCCGCGUGUGUGAAGAAGGCCUUCGGGUUGUAAAGCACUUUCAGCGGGGAGGAAGGCGUUAAGGUUAAUAACCUUGGCGAUUGACGUUACCCGCAGAAGAAGCACCGGCUAACUCCGUGCCAGCAGCCGCGGUAAUACGGAGGGUGCAAGCGUUAAUCGGAAUUACUGGGCGUAAAGCGCACGCAGGCGGUCUGUCAAGUCGGAUGUGAAAUCCCCGGGCUCAACCUGGGAACUGCAUUCGAAACUGGCAGGCUAGAGUCUUGUAGAGGGGGGUAGAAUUCCAGGUGUAGCGGUGAAAUGCGUAGAGAUCUGGAGGAAUACCGGUGGCGAAGGCGGCCCCCUGGACAAAGACUGGCGCUCAGGUGCGAAAGCGUGGGGAGCAAACAGGAUUAGAUACCCUGGUAGUCCACGCCGUAAACGAUGUCGAUUGGAGGUUGUGCCCUUGAGGCGUGGCUUCCGGAGCUAACGCGUUAAAUCGACCGCCUGGGGAGUACGGCCGCAAGGUUAAAACUCAAAUGAAUUGACGGGGGCCCGCACAAGCGGUGGAGCAUGUGGUUUAAUUCGAUGCAACGCGAAGAACCUUACCUGGUCUUGACAUCCACAGAACUUUCCAGAGAUGGAUUGGUGCCUUCGGGAACUGUGAGACAGGUGCUGCAUGGCUGUCGUCAGCUCGUGUUGUGAAAUGUUGGGUUAAGUCCCGCAACGAGCGCAACCCUUAUCCUUUGUUGCCAGCGGUUAGGCCGGGAACUCAAAGGAGACUGCCAGUGAUAAACUGGAGGAAGGUGGGGAUGACGUCAAGUCAUCAUGGCCCUUACGACCAGGGCUACACACGUGCUACAAUGGCAUAUACAAAGAGAAGCGACCUCGCGAGAGCAAGCGGACCUCAUAAAGUAUGUCGUAGUCCGGAUUGGAGUCUGCAACUCGACUCCAUGAAGUCGGAAUCGCUAGUAAUCGUAGAUCAGAAUGCUACGGUGAAUACGUUCCCGGGCCUUGUACACACCGCCCGUCACACCAUGGGAGUGGGUUGCAAAAGAAGUAGGUAGCUUAACCUUCGGGAGGGCGCUUACCACUUUGUGAUUCAUGACUGGGGUGAAGUCGUAACAAGGU